rnacentral:rRNA from 1 species
UCUUUUCCCACCGGAGCUUGCUCCACCGGGAAAAGAGGAGUGGCGAAUCGGGUGAGUAACACGUGGGUAACCUGCCCAUCAGAAGGGGAUAACACUUGGAAACAGGUGCUAAUACCGUAUAACAAUCGAAACCGCAUGGUUUCGUUUUGAAAGGCGCUUUACGGUGCCGCUGAUGGAUGGACCCGCGGUGCAUUAGCUAGUUGGUGAGGUAACGGCUCACCAAGGCCACGAUGCAUAGCCGACCUGAGAGGGUGAUCGGCCACAUUGGGACUGAGACACGGCCCAAACUCCUACGGGAGGCAGCAGUAGGGAAUCUUCGGCAAUGGACGAAAGUCUGACCGAGCAACGCCGCGUGAGUGAAGAAGGUUUUCGGAUCGUAAAACUCUGUUGUUAGAGAAGAACAAGGGUGAGAGUAACUGUUCACCCCUUGACGGUAUCUAACCAGAAAGCCACGGCUAACUACGUGCCAGCAGCCGCGGUAAUACGUAGGUGGCAAGCGUUGUCCGGAUUUAUUGGGCGUAAAGCGAGCGCAGGCGGUUUCUUAAGUCUGAUGUGAAAGCCCCCGGCUCAACCGGGGAGGGUCAUUGGAAACUGGGAGACUUGAGUGC